rnacentral:rRNA from 1 species
AACGAACGCUGGCGGCAUGCCUAACACAUGCAAGUCGAACGAAGCCUUCGGGCUUAGUGGCGCACGGGUGCGUAACGCGUGGGAAUCUGCCCUUGGGUUCGGAAUAACAGUUAGAAAUGACUGCUAAUACCGGAUGAUGUCUUCGGAGCAAAGAUUUAUCGCCCAAGGAUGAGCCCACGUAGGAUUAGGUAGUUGGUGGGGUAAUGGCCCACCAAGCCGACGAGCCUUAGCUGGUCCGAGAGGAUGAUCAGCCACACUGGGACUGAGACACGGCCCAGACUCCUACGGGAGGCAGCAGUGGGGAAUAUUGGACAAUGGGCGAAAGCCUGAGCCAGCAAUGCCGCGUGAGUGAUGAAGGCCUUAGGGUUGUAAAGCUCUUUUACCAGGGAUGAUAAUGACAGUACCUGGAGAAUAAGCUCCGGCUAACUCCGUGCCAGCCGCCGCCGUAAAAC